AUCGGGCCCCACAAAGCAGGAGAGAUGGGGGCUUUCUGGGAGAAAUUCCCAGGCAGCUUGUGUUCAAUUUUGCUCAGCAAGACUGCAUACAGCUCCAUCGAGUGGGAGAUAGAGAAGUGGGAAGGAAGAUGCUGUUCCAGCCACCAAAUGUCCAGAAGACAGAAGGCAAUUUUCCAAGCAUGGAUACUACCAGCAGCCCCUGUCCCAUUGGUUGUAAUUGGGAUAAAAACACAUGGAAUUGUUAAAAAUUGAUGGUAGGGAUCACAGUGACCCGUCCAGCAGGUCCAGUUAUUCAGGGUCCCGAAGAGGCCUUCCACCUGUGUAUCAAUGGGGGUGAAGAGAAGGAGAGUAAGCAAAUGUUCUGUUGUCAAGGUCUCAUUUAUUGGGGUGAACAUUACAGCUUUUAAGGCUUUCAGGUAGGGGGAGUGUCCUUAGUGAGGAGGGCAUUCCAGCAGCGAGAGCAGAAGGUGAAGAGGCCAUGCGAUGGAGACGCCGGAGUGUCUGGUGUUUGCUCAGGGUGAAAC
rnacentral:lncRNA from 1 species